GCGGCCGUGGUGUAGCCUGGAAGCACGCGGGCCUGCCACGCCCGAGAUCCCGGGUUCAAAUCCCGGCGGCCGCA
rnacentral:tRNA from 2 species